UGGGGAAUUUUGGACAAUGGGCGAAAGCCUGAUCCAGCAAUGCCGCGUGUGUGAAGAAGGCCUUCGGGUUGUAAAGCACUUUUGUCCGGAAAGAAAUCCUUGGCUCUAAUACAGUCGGGGGAUGACGGUACCGGAAGAAUAAGCACCGGCUAACUACGUGCCAGCAGCCGCGGUAAUACGUAGGGUGCAAGCGUUAAUCGGAAUUACUGGGCGUAAAGCGUGCGCAGGCGGUUUGCUAAGACCGAUGUGAAAUCCCGGGCUCAACCUGGGAACUGCAUUGGUGACUGGCAGGCUAGAGUAUGGCAGAGGGGGGUAGAAUUCCACGUGUAGCAGUGAAAUGCGUAGAGAUGUGGAGGAAUACCGAUGGCGAAGGCAGCCCCCUGGGCCAAUACUGACGCUCAUGCACGAAAGCGUGGGGAGCAAACAGGAUUAGAUACCCUGGUAGUCCACGCCCUAAAACGAUGUCAACUAGUUGUUGGGGAUUCAUUUCCUUAGUAACGUAGCUAACGCAUGAAGUUGACCGCCUGGGGAGUACGGUCGCAAGAUUAAAACUUAAAGGAAUUGACGGGGUCAUAGCUGUUUCCU
rnacentral:rRNA from 1 species